GCCUCUCAAAUUCAAGGCAAGACACCUUAUCUAUCAGGUGUAGAAUUUUUUGAGAUGAAAGUAGCAGUGUGUGAAGAAGAGGAGGUUAGUAGAAAACUGUUUAUCAGAACUCUGUGAGACGGUACUCAUAGGAGGACUUCCCUGUCCAUUGCUUCAUCUGUCUGCCCAGCCUCUGGAGUUGAAAUCCGGUCUAGAAAUUGGGGAUUUGGCACAUUAUAUUUCAUAUUUGUUCACCCGGCGAGGAAUGUUGGAGAAGAAUUACAGUGCCCCAUGAGCAGUAGAGAGGCACCUCCGGAUUGCCAGUCUAGUCCUGAACAUCGG